rnacentral:rRNA from 1 species
GACGGGGUGCAGCAGGCGCGAAACCUUGACAAUGCGCGAAAGCGCGAUCAGGGAACUCCGAGUGCCGACCUAACGAGUGGGCUUUUAAUCAGCUUGAACAGCUCCUGGAAUAAGGGCUGGGUAAGUCUCGUGCCAGCCGCCGCGGUAACACGAGCGGCCCAAGUGGUGCCCACUAUUAUUGGGCCUAAAGCGUCCGUAGCCGGCCUGAUAAGUCUCUGGUGAAAUCUCGCGGCUCAACCGGGAGGCGCGCCGGGGAUACURCCAGGCUAGGGACCGGGAGAGGYCAGGGGUACUCCARGGGKAGGAGURAAAUCCUGUAAUCCUUGSRGGACCACCGGUGGCGAARGCGCUUSGCCAGRACAGGUCCGACGGUGAGGURCGAAGGCUAGGGGAGCAAACCGGAUUAGAUACCCGRGUAGUCCUAGCWGUAAACGAUGCAGGCUAGGUGUCGCAGCSRCUUCGAGCCGCCGCAGUGCCGDAGGGAAGCKGUUAAGYCUGCUHCCUGGGGAGUACGGUCGCAAGACUGAAACUUAAA